rnacentral:rRNA from 1 species
CCUACGGGAGGCAGCAGUAGGGAAUCUUCCACAAUGGGCGAAAGCCUGAUGGAGCAACGCCGCGUGAGUGAUGAAGGCCUUCGGGUUGUAAAACUCUGUCAUUCGGGACGAACCGGAGUCUGAGGAAAUGCAGACUCUCUGACGGUACCGGAGGAGGAAGCCCCGGCUAACUACGUGCCAGCAGCCGCGGUAAUACGUAGGGGGCAAGCGUUGUCCGGAUUCACUGGGCGUAAAGCGCGCGCAGGCGGUGAUGUAAGUCUGAGGUGAAAACCCGAGGCUCAACUUCGGGACUGCCUUGGAUACUGCGUCACUUGAGGAUAGGAGAGGCAAGGGGAAUUCCACGUGUAGCGGUGAAAUGCGUAGAGAUGUGGAGGAACACCUGUGGCGAAGGCGCCUUGCUGGCCUAUUUCUGACGCUGAGGCGCGAAAGCGUGGGGAGCAAACAGGAUUAGAUACCCUGGUAGUCCACGCUGUAAACGAUGAGUGCUAGGUGUAGGUGGGCUCAUACCCAUCUGUGCCGAAGCUAACGCAUUAAGCACUCCGCCCUGGGGAGUACGGUCGCAAGACUGAAACUCAAAUGAAUUGACGG